UAGGGAAUCUUCGGCAAUGGACGAAAGUCUGACCGAGCAACGCCGCGUGAGUGAAGAAGGUCUUCGGAUCGUAAAACUCUGUUGUUAGAGAAGAACAAGGACGUAAGUAACUGAACGUCCCCUGACGGUAUCUAACCAGAAAGCCACGGCUAACUACGUGCCAGCAGCCGCGGUAAUACGUAGGUGGCCAGCGUUGUCCGGAUUUAUUGGGCGUAAAGCGAGCGCAGGCGGUUUCUUUAGUCUGAUGUGAAAGUCCCCGGCUCAACCGGGGAGAGUCAUUGGAAACUGGGAUACUUGAGUGAAGAAGAGGAGAGAAGAAUUCCUUGUGUAGCGGUGAAAUGCGUAGAUAUAAGGAGGAACACCAGUUGCGAAGGCGGCUCUCUGGUCUAUAACUGACGCUGAGGCUCGAAAGCGUGGGGAGCAAACAGG
rnacentral:rRNA from 1 species